ensembl:lncRNA
CUUUUGUACCAGAGAAGGAGAAGGGUGGUGCUUGCCCUGCCUGGAGGUCUGGGGAAGGGCUCUCUGGUUAGCCCUCUCUCGGUCCUCAGCCCCUGGUUAGCCAAACACUAGCCCAGGUGCUGCUGUGAGGCAAUUCUGCAGAUUAAAGUCCCAGGUCUGGUGAUCUUAAGACACGAAGCUUAUCUGGAUGGGCCUGACCCAUUCAGGUGAAACUUGUAAAAGCAGGGUGUUUUCAGAGGCGUUAGAAGGGUCAGAGGGACAUGACACGCUGCUUCUGCUCUGAAGACAGAUGGGGCACUUGGGAAAGAAUGUGGGUGGCCUCUAGGGCUGAGUGUGGCCCAACCCAUGGCCAGAAAGGACACAGGACAUCAGACCUACAGCCUCCGGGAGGCAGAUUCUCCCACAGAUGAGAGCCCCGCUGGGGGACACCUGGCUUUUUGCCUGUAAAACCUGCACAGAGAACCCAGUCAAGCCUGGAUUCAGAUUUCUGGCCCACGGAGCUGUUGGUGGUCAGUGGGUGUUAUUGUAAGCUGCUAAGUGUGUGGUGACUUGCUAUGCAGCAGGAGACAGGAACCGGCCUCUGCUCUGGAUGAGGUUGGGGAGGCUGCUGAGAGAGGGGUCGGGUGAUUCUGUCUCUUCUGCCAGAACAUUUCCAUCCUGUGUUCAUCCACGCCAUCUACCAGAGCUCCUGGUCCCUGCCCAUGACAUAAAGACACCACAAUGAGCUGGAUGUGGGGGCCACCGGCUCCAGAGGCUAAGGGAGAGUGGACCUGUGCCGCUCUGUGCUCAACCAGUUCACCGAAGAGCCGGCAACCAGCUCUGACACAGGCGGCCACACCCCACUUCUGGAAAACACCGCUCAGACUCCAAGGGUGCUUCUUGGCCACCCCUUCCCCCCUGGGGCCCUCCCCCACCGCAGAUCCCGCUGCCAGCUCUGGGGGCUGUGUGGGCCCUGGGCCACCACGAGAAGCACUUGGUACUGCAGGCUCUUGGAGGGCCCAGUUUCUCCCUCGGGCAUCCAGCCUGCAGGAACGUUCCAGGCCACAGGGUCGCUCUUCCUGGCCCCACCUCUCGCCUUGACCUGGGUCAUUUUUUGCAGCACUUCUCAAAUGCUGCCCUGCACUGUCCUCGUGGCAGAAGGGAACUUUUCAGCUGCUUACAAGGAAGCCACGCACACACAAAAAAACUGACUGUUGCCAAUUCUCGCCUUCAAAAGUGACAGAUCAUAGUGGAGAUGCUGGCCUCAGGGUUCUGGUUAGCCAGGAGCAGAGGAGAACUUGUCAUUUCAGAGCACCAGCCAGUGCCUCAUGCUACUAACUGCUGGAGUCUUGGCUUACCUGAGCAAGUUAGUGAGCUUGUGUGUUACUCAGGACUCUUUUCACUGCAAAUGACAGAUUUGCAACCCAAAUCCCUAAAGUAAGAAUAAUAUUUAUUGGUUCACUACAUGGAAAACAGAAUCUAUAGUUGUCCUUAGCUUCAGGUACGGCGGUAUCCAGGGGCUCAGUGGUGUGUCUCCUCUGCUUUCCUCCGUGGAUAACCUCAUCUGUUUAACAGAGGAUGAUGGUAGCUCUAGGUU